rnacentral:rRNA from 1 species
AGUGAACGCUGGCGGUAGGCCUAACACAUGCAAGUCGAACGGCAGCACAGUAAGAGCUUGCUCUUACGGGUGGCGAGUGGCGGACGGGUGAGGAAUACAUCGGAAUCUACUUUUUCGGGGGGGAUAACGUAGGGAAACUUACGCUAAUACCGCAUACGACCUACGGGUGAAAGCAGGGGAUCUUCGGACCUUGCGCGAUUGAAUGAGCCGAUGUCGGAUUAGCUAGUUGGCGGGGUAAAGGCCCACCAAGGCGACGAUCCGUAGCUGGUCUGAGAGGAUGAUCAGCCACACUGGAACUGGGACACGGUCCAGACUCCUACGGGAGGCAGCAGUGGGGAAUAUUGGACAAUGGGCGCAAGCCUGAUCCAGCCAUACCGCGUGGGUGAAGAAGGCCUUCGGGUUGUAAAGCCCUUUUGUUGGGAAAGAAAAGCAGCAGGUUAAUACCCCGCUGUUCUGACGGUACCCAAAGAAUAAGCACCGGCUAACUUCGUG